AUAAGGGGCCCAAAGGGUCCAAAAUUAACUUUGUUUGAUUUCAUCAAAAUUGAAUAAUUGGGGUUCUUUGAUAUGCCGAAUCUAACUGUCAUGACUGUGUAUGUAGAUUCUUAACUUUUGGUCCCGUUUUCAAAUUGGUCUACAUUAAGGUCCAAAGGGUCCAAAAUUAAACUUGGUUUGAUUUUGACAAAAAAUGAAUCAGUUGGUUCUUUUGAUAUGCUGAAUCUAAAAAUGUACUUAG
rnacentral:lncRNA from 1 species